rnacentral:rRNA from 1 species
CCUACGGGAGGCAGCAGUGAGGAAUAUUGGUCAAUGGGCGCGAGCCUGACCCAGCCAAGUAGCGUGAAGGAUGACUGCCCUACGGGUUGUAAACUUCUUUUAUAAAGGAAUACAGUGAGGCACGUGUUCCUUUUUGUAUGUACUUUAUGAAUAAGGAUCGCCUAACUUCGUGCCAGCAGCCGCGGUAAUACGGAGGAUCCGAGCGUUAUCCGGAUUGAUUGGGUUUAAAGGGAGCGUAGAUGGGUUGUUAAGUCAGUUGUGAAAGUUUGCGGCUCAACCGUAAAAUUGCAAUUGAUACUGGCAGACGUGAGUACAGUUGAGGUAGGCGGAAUUCGUGGUGUAGCGGUGAAAUGCUUAGAUAUCACGAAGAACUCCGAUUGCGAAGGCAGCCUACUAGAAUGCCACUGACAUUGAGGCGCGAAAGUGUGGGUAUCAAACAGGAUUAGAUACCCCAGUAGUC